CCCGCUGAACUUAAGCAUAUCAAUAAGCGGAGGAAAAGAAACUAACAAGGAUUCCCCUAGUAACUGCGAGUGUAGCGGGAAAAGCUCAAAUUUAAAAUCUGGCGGUCUCGCGGCCGUCCGAGUUGUAAUCUGGAGAAGCGUCUAUCCGCGUCGGACCGUGUACAAGUCUUCUGGAAGGGAGCGUCGUAGAGGGUGAGAAUCCCGUCUUUGACACGGACAACCGAUGCUUUUGCGAUGCGCUCUCGAAGAGUCGAGUUGUUUGGGAAUGCAGCUCAAAAUGGGUGGUAAAUUCCAUCUAAAGCUAAAUAUUGGCGAGAGACCGAUAGCGAACAAGUACCGUGAGGGAAAGAUGAAAAGCACUUUGGAAAGAGAGUUAAACAGUACGUGAAAUUGUUGAAAGGGAAACGUUUGAAGUCAGUCGCGUCGGCCGAGACUCAACCUUGCUCUUCGCUCGGUGCACUUCUCGGUCGACGGGUCAGCAUCAAUUUCGACCGCCGGACAAAGGUCAGGGGAAUGUGGCAUCCUUCGGGAUGUGUUAUAGCCCUUGAUUCGCAUACGGCGAUUGCUAUUGAGGAUCUCGGCGCUUCACGCGUCCAGGAUGCUGGCAUAAUGGCUUUAAGCGACCCGUCUUGAAACACGG
rnacentral:rRNA from 1 species